rnacentral:rRNA from 1 species
UACGAAGGGGGCUAGCGUUGCUCGGAAUUACUGGGCGUAAAGCGCACGUAGGCGGAUUGUUAAGUCAGGGGUGAAAUCCUGGAGCUCAACUCCAGAACUGCCUUUGAUACUGGCGAUCUCGAGUCCGGGAGAGGUGAGUGGAACUGCGAGUGUAGAGGUGAAAUUCGUAGAUAUUCGCAAGAACACCAGUGGCGAAGGCGGCUCACUGGCCCGGUACUGACGCUGAGGCGCGAAAGCGUGGGGAGCAAACAGG